AGUGAACGCUGGCGGUAGGCCUAACACAUGCAAGUCGAACGGCAGCACAGUAAGAGCUUGCUCUUACGGGUGGCGAGUGGCGGACGGGUGAGGAAUACAUCGGAAUCUACUUUUUCGUGGGGGAUAACGUAGGGAAACUUACGCUAAUACCGCAUACGACCUACGGGUGAAAGCAGGGGAUCUUCGGACCUUGCGCUAUUGAAUGAGCCGAUGUCGGAUUAGCUAGUUGGCGGGGUAAAGGCCCACCAAGGCGACGAUCCGUAGCUGGUCUGAGAGGAUGAUCAGCCACACUGGAACUGAGACACGGUCCAGACUCCUACGGGAGGCAGCAGUGGGGAAUAUUGGGCAAUGGGGGCGAGCCUGAUCCAGCCAUACCGCGUGGGUGAAGAAGGCCUUCGGGUUGUAAAGCCCUUUUGUUGGGAAAGAAAAGCAGCAGGUUAAUACCCCGCUGUUCUGACGGUACCCAAAGAAUAAGCACCGGCUAACUUCGUG
rnacentral:rRNA from 1 species